AUGCUUUGUUGUCAUCUAGCGCCAGGAUUGCAAACGAGAAGUAUGAUGUCAGCUCGAUUUUUUGUUGGAGUGGUCGAUAGGAAAUAUAUUUGCUCUACUCGAUACCUCCCAGUGCCCGAGAAAAGACCAGGACCCCCAAUAUGGCUCCUGUCCUGUCAGAAAAGCUACAGGUGGGUGUCAGUCCUCUCCAUGCCUUCUAAAGCCCCAUUACCGUGGAUGGCAUUUCCUCAGCCUCUGGCUGGUUUGUCCAAUAAUUUGCCAUCAGAGCCCCCUGCCUUUCCUCCAGCUCCUGGUCUCUGUGAGCUGAGGCCCAGCUAUUGAAAGAUAUUCCCCACUAUGAGCCCUGUCUGUCACCUACAUCCCACAUGGACACAGCGACGCUGGCGCCCUCCAGCCUCUGUUCUGCUUCAGCCAGCUUCGCCCCUCAUGCUGGGCCUACACAGUGGGGUCGGGAACUGGAAUAAUAGAAUGUAUCCUUUCAGGAUGCAUUAACACGUGAGGAUGUGGCUGUACGUUUCUCCCGGGAAGAGUGGGACUGUCUGAAUCCUGCCCAGAAGGAGCUCUAUAGAGACGUGACGCCGGAGGAUCACCGGAACUGCCUCUGGCUGGGUAAGGACCGCUGCUUCUCCCUAAUUCCCUGCCCCAACUGAAGAUCCUUAUUUGUGAUUUCUUUCCUUCCUCCUGUACUACUGGAUCUGCCUGAAAUCCUCUUUGGGAAUGCGACAGGACAUAUCAAUCUUAAGAUAACAAUAGUUUGGGGGGCCUUGAUAUUUCCUGACAGAUGAGAGAAUUCCUGUCCAACUGAACCCGGGACGGAGUUAGAGACCGUAUUUCCCUUAAGACGUGGAGAUUCCUAAGAGUCGCUGCCCUGUUUUUAGAGACAGGAGUUUCUUUUACCACGGCUGAGUCCUCUCUUUCCAGCUUUUUUUCUCGUUCCCUUGGGUAACUGCACUUUUUCUUUCAGGCUGGGGACUAAUAUCUGUGUCUCCAGUAAAACUUCUGGAGUUUUCUUUAUACAAGAGAAAGAAAAUUAUCUAAUUGUCCUUCUGAGGUAAAACAGUCUACUUGCCAAGCCUUCGUUUCUUGUCUUAAAACGUCCUUUCUUUCCACAAAGGGGUAAAGGCUGGGGCCCCUUCGCAAACUAGCACAGAGCACCUCCUUUCUCCUUCCUCAUGGGCAGGGUUUCCAAUCUCCAAAAUUGCUCUGACCUCUAAGCUGGAAGGAGGAGAAGAACCCAGGGCCGUGUUGCCUCCCCACAGAGCCAAGUAUGAAGAGUUCCCGAUACCUGUCGACACGGGUGAGUGAGGGGGAUCUGAAGGAU
rnacentral:lncRNA from 1 species